rnacentral:sRNA from 1 species
AUGAAUCCAGCUUGUGUCAAAUUGGCAAAUGCUACCCAGAACAGCACCCUAAUCCUGCAGAGUUGGGUUGCUUAUUCUCAGCCGCAUCCCUGAGCAUCCCUGCUUUUAUUUCUUAUCAUUGCCUGAUUCUAUGUUCAAAAUGCCUCCAAAGUGCCAACCUGGGACUGUGCAGGUGCCACAAACUCCUCAUAGUUUGAUCUCUGUGCCUAUCAAUUUUUGCAAUGCUGGAAUGGGAGCCAAGUCGAGAACACAUUAGUCUAGCAUUCUACCUGAGCACUGAGCUAGACCCAUAGCACUUACCAUUUUUAUUUAAGGGAAGGAUUCUUGGAACAGUAGAAUAGAAAUCUCUACUGGUACUCCCACCACAUGCAUGGUGUCUUCUCCUAUGACUUUUGCCCAUUUUAUGUGAAACAAAGACCACAGCCUAGGCUUUAUUCAGGAAGGAAAGCAGAAACCAAAAGCCUUCCCCAGGAUGGAGAAUUCUCAGGAGGAAGAGCACACAGGUGUGGGUCCAGCCCAUCAGGGAGUAGGUUUGUUCACAUACAGAGUUGGCCGGAACCAGCCACCCACUGCUCUUGGCUUUCAAAGGGAACAGUGUGUGCCUGGCAUCCAGAUGCCCCCUGUGAACAGCGAAGAGGCACUGAUGGAUGGCUGUGCCACAAUGAGAAAUGGAUCAAUGUAUCAUCUCACCCAGUAUUGGCAUUCUCACUGAGAAAGGAGGCACAGCAGAGGUCUUACGCAUGGAUUCCAGCUUUGCCUGUUGGGAGGACCUUCCCUCAUAGAUAAUAGGAUUGCAGCCUCACCUCUCUUGGAGUCCCUUCCUAUCAUAGCAUGUGGAUGGGGGUGGUGUGGGCAUCUUCCCCAGAAGGCCUCAGUUGAGAUCAAAGAGACCUUGCGUAUCCAUUUGAGCCUACUGCUGUGGCAACGACUUGCUGGGAUUCACGUAGUAAUGUGUGAGGCUCUGACAGCACUGAGAUCUGCCUUUAUAGUCUUUAGGUUUGUUUUCCUGAAUGAAUAGGUUGACCAGUGCCCAAAAGCAGAGCUCAUGCAACAUUCCACUGCUGCUGGGUUCAGCUCAAAGCAGACCCCACACCACUGGCUAAUGGAAGACUGUGCUGCAGAGGUGGUAGAGAGCCCUGCCUAGAAAGACUGAAGUCUUGAGAGUUCCUAUUGUUCUUGGGGUUCUCAGAAGAACCAAAUGCCCCUGAACUCACCUUGGCUCCUGUUUCCAAGUCUCACUGGAACCCAGGAACUCAGGUCCCUCAAGCCUGUAGCACUAACUGUGCCUGUCUGCAUCCCUACUUGCGAUACUCUUCUGCCUGCAGGUCCAUUCACUCACUACCACAAAUACCCACAUCCUGAACAUAGCCGGUGAACCUUGUCUUGCUUUCUGCCUGUGGGUGGAGCUGGCUUCCCACAGCUGCCUCCAUCAGUCAGCUCAGCACGGACAGCCAGCGGGUGCUCCUCUAAUCAGAGCCACAAAACUUCUCCCUCUUACUUGGCUUCCCAUGACAUGCAGCUCACCAGAAGCUGGGUUACAUGUGUCUAGUGGCUAUACCUCCCCCAACCUCCAUCUCACCCCAUCGGUCCAUCUGCUUUAUGUCAAGUACUAUGCUGGCAGUGGGAUGAAGGGAGGCUGGAGUCAUUGGAAGCAUCCUCCUGGAGCCACGUCUUGUGGACAACAGACCUGGGAUCAGCAAAUGGAGAAUGCCUUCUUUCCAGCCAUAUAAAGGAUACACUUCAGAGAAGGGCCUUACAGAAGGGCUUUCUUGUUUAUCUUUCAGGGCCUGUGACAGGGUACCCUCACACAGCUGCUGGCCUAACUAGACCUACUGGGGAACAGAAAGUAGAGUUUCUCAGUAGCAGGGGUAGCUUUUGAGUUAGGCUGCGCCAUGCACAUGAGGCCUAGAAAGACACCGUAGAGCACAGGGAUCCCAUUGGAGCUUUCGGUGAGGACCAUGACAAUGACAAAGGAUUCCGAGCUUGAAGGAUGUAAAAUUCAAGAAUCUAUGCAGGAUCUAACUGGAAGAAGCAUCUUUUAGUCCCAUCUGCACCUUCUGGGAGUGCUGCCUCCCCGGCUGCAUGGGGUCCUUGGCCAUGCUGGUCACUCUGGUAGGCUUGCCCAUUCUUUCUACCAUGUCCUAGGGACCUCCUAUUCUGUCUCUGUGCAUAGAUGUGCAGAAGGUCCCUGGGACUUGAACAAACUUCCCCUUCAUCAGCUAGUUACCUUCCCAGAGCUCCAUCUCUCAUACCAUAACGAGACAGAAACAUGAGUUCCUGAGGUACACAGACCGAACAUUAUGUCUCCCCUGCCUCUCACCAGCAAUAGUUGUCCCUGACUCCUCUCCUGAGUUCUUCACCAUGGUUCUUCCUUCUAGGUGACCCAAGAGCUGGUAUUGAAUAAGGCUCAUUUUAUUAGGGACCAACACCACCAACCAAAAACCAUAUCGCACCAGAGAAGGGAGUAUGACGUCACAUGGUAAGUGGCUACGAGUGAUGCCUCUGAGAAUGGCAGGCUUCACAGUGGGGGAGAUAAAGGGAGGUAUUUUGCUUAGGGGAUGCAAGCAGUGGGGCUAUAGAAUGUGAAAUAUUAGUAUUUUUUGUUGUUGCUGUUGUCCUUGUAUAAUUGAUCUUUUAUACCCAAUGUGAUGAGACUGGAUAGACUUUACUUUGUGGCCAGUUAGCCCAUUGACGUGGUACAAAGAUGGUUUUGAGCCACGUGUCUGCAGUCAUUCUGGUUGGUGAGAUACCUGAUGUUAGAGUAGUAGGUCAGAUUCAAAGCCCAAGUAGUACAGUGUUAUCAUGACUGAUGGGAAUGUGUUUUGCAUAGACCCUUGGCAAAUGCUGCCAUGCAGGAUAAGCUUCUCCAUUGUCGGAGGUGAUUAGUCAUGGCUUCACUGUAGCGCAUGUUUAUCUCUCUGUAUGCUGAUUUGGACAAUGGUGGCGUCAGUGUCCCUGCAUGUCUCCAGCUUCUCUAACUGCUGUGGUUUCAGGUUGACCACACAUUUGGUAUGCAGAUGUACAUGAGUAGCCUCUGCCACUGCUUGCACACCUUUGACUGGGCAGGAGAAGACCAUGAGCUCAGGUCUCCUGUCUGCAUCCAGCCCCACACCUGAGCAGCCCUAGGAUGUGAUCUUGCACAGAGGAAGCCAGGUUUAACACAUCACAGGAAGAUGACUGGAGUUCAAGUGGUCCUCUAGUCCUUUGAUGCUGCCUGGCCAAGGCUGUGCCCGGUCUGUGCCUUCUUUUUUCCCAUCAUGAGGGUCAUCCCUGCUCUCACCUGACACCACACCAUACACUCGCUGUAUCCCCUGUAUCUGGCCUCCUUGUAGACUCCUGCCCAACGGUUGAUUCAGCACUGGCCUUUGCUCCCAGGUGAGCAGCCCAUGCUAGUGCCCAAGUCUGAGCUGAUUUCAUUGAGCCUAUGGGGUGCCAGUGUAUGGUGGUUCUGGUCUUGGCACUUUGGGUGUGUGUGUAUGUGCCAUUGAUGGGUUGGUGAGAAGCCUUCCAUCGAUUGGCAGAGGGAGACCAAUAGGAUUCUACUCCUAACAUCACUGUCUUUCUGUGUGAGCACUGGGUCACAAGUGCUGGUGGUGCCAUGUAUCUGAGAGAUGAAGCCAGGCAGCAGUGAACAAGUGUGUCCACAGGAAGAUGAUAGAUCCAAGUGCAGUGCCAUGAGCUGGUGUGGCUUGCAGGCUAUAGAAAUCAACAAAUGCCACAUCCAUCAAGUGACUCUAUAGUAGUCAUCAUGUGAGGGUUCUUUAUAACAAACUUCAUGUGGAAGGCUUCAUUAUCCCCACCUUACAGAUGGGAAUACCGAGGCUCAGUGAUGUACUCAGUGUCACAAAAGCAUUAGCAGCAAUCAGGACUCACACAUUCUCUUUUGGCUCACUUAUGCGCUCUUCCUACUUUAUUUCUGUUUGACCCACAGAGACAAAAAUGGGCAGUCUUCAUAAGCAGCAGCAGUUCAUGCUAAUCAUGAAUGCCAACUUGACAUGCUUGGGAAGAGGGACCCUCGCUUAAUGAUUGCCUCUGUCAGAUUGGUUCAUGAGUGUGUCUGUGGGGCAUUUUCUUGAUUGUUGAUUGACACAGGACCAUCCAGCUUACCCUGGGUGUCACCCCUAGGCAGGUGAGCCUAGAAGCAAGCCAGUAAGCAGUGUUUCUCUAUGGUUUUGGCUCCACGUUCUUGCCUUAUGCAGACCAGGAAGCAUGAAAGAGCUUGCUUUUACAGCAAAGCUCUUCCUUGCCCCAAAUCUAACCUAUUUUCCCUCAGUUGAGCUCAGAGCCCUCAGGAUCCAGUCACCUCCCCAAAGCCCCACCUGUGCCCCCUGAUGAACUGGGAAUCCAGCCUAUAACAGGGGAGUUCUUAGAGGACAAACAUUUCAGAGCCAAAUCCUAAGAGAAGCCCCAGAGAAUUGUGGGAACUCAUGGGAUUCUGUCUGGGAACAUAACAAAAUGGCCUCCGAUGCUGAGAAAUCUUGAAGCCUCAUUCGUUGGGAUAUGCAUUCCAUGGCAGAGAAACUUGCCACUUCUUCCUCUCUGGAGAAAUAGCGUUUUGGUACUCUGGAGCUGGUGUUUGAAGCCCCACCUUCCAAGUGGGAGGAGCAACUGGGUAGGUGGAGGAAGGGUAGGAGCACUAGCUAGGGUACAACAAGGGUAGCAGCAGGUGAGGAAGAGCUGGUUUGUUUUUCCCAAAGACUUCUCUCUGACUCUGCCAUGGGAAGACAAGGGUGGGCUUUGUGACAUCCAAGGUCAUUGUGGGGAUGGUUAUGAUCACCCUGACAGCAUUUGAGCACCUACCCAACUCUAGGGAUUUGAAAGUAUCUUCAGUGGCCUGUUGUCUACCCCACAGCAGUGAGAGGCUGGCCUAAGCCUGCUCUCUGCUUCCACCUAGUAUCAAGUAGUCCAUCAAUGGGGCAGUGAGUUUUAUAGGUCUUUACUAUAAGGUUCUAUUCUUGGAGCUUUAUUUCAGAUGAAGACUUGCUGCCUUAGCCAUCUCUGUGGAAAUGGGGCCAAGAAGACCUGUGGACAGCAGCGCCUAAUGCAUCUUUGGGAAUGCUUCAUCUGCCCAACAUUGUGGAACAAGAGGACGUGCUAUACAGAAGACUUUCUCAAAUAGCUAGCAUUUGCCAACUUGAGCUGCAAAGCACAGAUACACAAGCCAAUUCUGAUAGACUCAGAAAUACUUGCAAGCAUUUCUAAGGGUCUCAGAACUGUUGACAUUUCUUUCUCACUGGACCAAGGACUCUACCGACACCAAGUACCAGAUGCAGAACUGAAGCCCUAGGCUGUACCUGUAGGUCAUGGAGGAGCACCUGCUCGAACUGUUCACUAAGAGUCAACAAAGAUGAGAGCCAUCUAGAACAUUCCUCACAAGGUCUGAGGGAAUAGUUGAGGCCAUCUGGCAUGUGUCCUUGCUCAUGAAGAUAUAUGAGAAUGACAGAGGCCAGGCCUGAGGAAGAUGGUGGAUGCUAGAGAGAGUGGACAGCAACUGGAUGGAAAGUGGAAGACUGAUGUGCAACCCUGAGUCCUAAUCAGCUGGCUCAGAGCCCCUGUGAGCAGACAUUGUGCUAUAAAGAACCCUAAUGUAAGCAGACACUUUGUAGGGCUCUAAUAUGCUAUCCUGUGUUCCCUAUAAGUAUACACUAUACAGAAGCCUAGUAUCCCACCCUGGGAUCCCCAAAGAGUAUUCAGUGUACAUAAUCCUGAAACCUGAAUCAGACAAAGCUGUUUAUUUAUGACAUCAUACUGAGACUGAGGCAAAACCACUUCUGGGAUCAUUCCUGGACAUUACAAAGAUAAGUCCACAGCAGCCACAGAUGCCACUUCCCUGGCUCAUUUGAUGACUAGAAGAGCUGCUGCUUUCCUCAGGCUUCCUGUCAGAGACUCCUAUCCAGUUGAACACCCUUUCAGGGUCCCAGCGGGCCUUUGUCUUAGUUAUAGUUUCUAUUGCUGACCAUGAACAAAAGCAACUUGGGGAGGAAAGAAUCUAUUUCAUUCUAUAGCCAUAUAUAGUCCAUCAUCUAGGGAAAUGAGGGUAGGAGCUCAAGACUGGCACUGAUGCAUAGACCAUGGAAGACUGCCUGCUCACUUAUAACGUGAUCACCCUGCUCUUCUACACCACCGAUGACCACCCAUCAAAGGGUGUCACCACCUAUGGUGAGCUGGACCUAAUCAUCAACCAUCAGUCAAGAAAAAGCACCAUAGGCUUGUUCGUAGGCUAAUCUUGUUAGGAGCAUUUUCUCAAUUUAGAUUCCCUCCUCCAAAAUGGCUGUAGCUUGUGUCGAGUUGACAGAGAACUAGCCAGCACAGACUUAGUAGCAUCUAUAUUCCUACUUCCCUACCAAAAACCUACCUCAGCUCCCUGUCCUGUGUCUGUCUCAUAUUAAAUUCAUUAAGUCCCAGAAUUUUCUUGAGUGUGCCCUGGGUGGUCACAGGCAGAAGGGUAUCCUCUACAUCCUGAGUUGGGACAUCACUGCAAGGCUUGGGGCAGCUAGCAAGCAGGGGCAUGCACAGGGGCUGUGAGGACUGACAAUUCAGCAGGGUAGAUGGGGAGAAUGCAGCUGCCUUUGUGGGAACUAUCUGGCCCAAACAAUAAUUUCCACAGUAACCAGGAAUGUAGAUGGGUACUAAACCCCAGGCCAUGAAGCAUGUUUUAUUCCUAGAUACCCCCAAAAGAAACUGAAUCCCAUCCCACAUGGCUUCAAUGGAGCCCUCUCUUCUGCCUUCAAAGGUAGGAAUUGAAAAGAGAAUACUGAAGUAAAUGCUUCCCUGUUUAGCCAGCCCUGGGUGAGCAUGCGGUACACAAGCUGGAGCUAUCACAG